rnacentral:lncRNA from 1 species
GUCUGCAGACUCACCGAUUUAGUUCUGUGAGGAUCACUUUGAUAUAGCCACGGUGAAUGGGAAAAUAAGCAACAGACUGUCGAGAUCAUUAAACGAAACAAACAAUUGAUAUACGAAUACCCAGGAGAAGAUAAGUUUGAUGGCGUCGACGAAAGAGCUCUUGAGAAUACCAGUAUAAAAUUAAAUUAAAGAAUUCCAGCAAAAGUAUAAUUAAGUCAACGAACUUACAAUUUCCUAAAGUACAUUAUAAUUUGCACCAUUCUGUCUUUGCCAAAAAAAAAACCCAGAGACAUUACCACAUAUGUGGUAGGUACCUCAUAUGUGAGAGUCCGCCUUGUUUCAGUUUCGUUUGGGUAUCCGGAUUCCGUAGUCACCACGGAGGGAAACCUGCGAAUGGGAUACUGGAAUCCCUCGGCUUAGCGAUUGCAGGGCCUUGGAGGAAAGUUGGGAGGGGAAAGCUGGAAAGGAAGUGUGGAGGAAGAAUAAGGAAACCUUAGGAUUGGAGGAGGGGAGAAGGCCAGGAAAUGUUCGCGAGCCCUUAUAGGGCUCCAUGAGAAUUGGCUACCAUGACGUAUACACACUUUACUGUGUGAUUAGGGCCGCGACAAAGGUCCUUCCGAGAAUUCGGUGAGAAGUGGAGUGGAGAGUGGAGACCGAGCGUAUUACUACUACAUUCACGCUUAGAAUGAUAUCACCGUUCACGCUCGCAUUACACAAGUACGCAGGACAUACAAAAUAAAUAAGUUCAUCUGUGGGCGAUUCCAACAUGUUAUUUUCAGCGAUGUAUAUAAGAUAAAUUCAAAAUAAAACUAUACUAACAA